UACGUAGGGUGCGAGCGUUGUCCGGAUUUAUUGGGCGUAAAGAGCUCGUAGGCGGUUUGUCGCGUCGGCCGUGAAAUCUCCACGCUUAACGUGGAGCGUGCGGUCGAUACGGGCAGACUUGAGUUCGGUAGGGGAGACUGGAAUUCCUGGUGUAGCGGUGAAAUGCGCAGAUAUCAGGAGGAACACCGGUGGCGAAGGCAGCUCGCUGGGACGGUACUGACGCUGAGGCGCGAAAGCGUGGGGAGCGAACAGG
rnacentral:rRNA from 1 species